CCUUCUUUGGUUGAUGGAAGAGAGGAAACUAUAAGGAAGGGUUUGUCAAACAGCCGGUUGCUUCAGGCAUUUUGAUUUCUCACCAGGAUUGUCUCUGAAUUACUGGGUUUAAGGGAACUUUUUUAAACUCAUAUAUAUCUAUAUUUUUUUUACUUAGAUUUUACUUAGAUUUUUUAAACUUAGAUUUCUCUUAAAACAAAUUUCAGUAAUAGAUUGAGCUUUCUUUCUUUCUUCUGCCAUUUUCCUUCCUCUUUUUCUUUUCUUCCUUCCUUAUUCCUUCAUUUCUUUUUUUUCUUCACAGUUUAGUCACAAGGUAUCCUUGAACAAAUCAAGAAUCCUACUUUGGAAGUACCAACUUGGUCUUUGGAAAUGUGAAAAAGAAGGAAUUGGUCAAAUAUCACUUUACUGGGUGGCUGCUGAAGCAUGA
rnacentral:lncRNA from 1 species